rnacentral:tRNA from 1 species
UCAUGGAGGGCUAUUGGGGCGAGCCGUCUCUGAGCGAGACGGCGGAGGGCUGGUUCAACACCGGCGACAUGGG